rnacentral:tRNA from 2 species
GCGGCUUUAGCUCACUUGGGAGAGCGUCAGACUGAAGAAACCUAUUCUUGAGGCUAUCUGAAGGCACUGUGUUCGAUCCACAGAAGCCGCA